rnacentral:rRNA from 1 species
GAUGAACGCUGGCGGCGUGCUUAACACAUGCAAGUCGAACGGAAAGGCCCAAGCUUGCUUGGGUACUCGAGUGGCGAACGGGUGAGUAACACGUGGGUGAUCUGCCCUGCACUUCGGGAUAAGCCUGGGAAACUGGGUCUAAUACCGGAUAGGACCACUUCUUGGAUGUUGUGGUGGAAAGUUUUUUCGGUGUGGGAUGAGCUCGCGGCCUAUCAGCUUGUUGGUGGGGUAAUGGCCUACCAAGGCGUCGGCGGGUAGCCGGCCUGAGAGGGUGUACGGCCACAUUGGGACUGAGAUACGGCCCAGACUCCUACGGGAGGCAGCAGUGGGGAAGAUUGCACAAUGGGCGCAAGCCUGAUGCAGCGAGGCCGCGUGGGGGAUGACGGCCUUCGGGUUGUAAACUCCUUUCGCUAGGGACGAAGCGUUUUGUGACGGUACCUGGAGAAGAAGCACCGGCUAACUACGUG